rnacentral:rRNA from 1 species
AUUGAACGCUGGCGGCCGGCCUAACACAUGCAAGUCGAACGAGUGGCGGACGGGUGAGUAAUGUCUGGGAAACUGCCUGCUGGAGGGGGAUAACUACUGGAAACGGUAGCUAAUACAGCAUACCAUCAGAUGUGCCCAGAUGGGAUUAGCUAGUUGGUGGGGUAAAGGCUCACCAAGGCGACGAUCCUUAGCUGGUCUGAGCGGAUGACCAGCCACACGGGAACGGUGACACGGUCCAGACGCCUACGGGAGGCAGCAGGUGGGAAUAUUGCACCAUGGGCGCAAGCCUGAUGCAGCCAUGCCGCGUGUAUGAAGAAGGCCUUCGGGUUUUAAAGUACUUUCAGCGGGGAGGCGUUACCCGCAGAAGAAGCACCGGCUAACUCCGUGCCAGCAGCCGCGGUAAUAC